GUGGAGCGGUGGCGGUGGCGGUAUGAAGCAGAAACUUUCAGUGGUGUCCAAUAUGUUGUGCAGAAGCAUUAAGCCCGCCAUGGAAGCACCAUUGGAACUAGAAGAGUAUUUGGUACACACAAGUGGAUUUUCCUGAAAGCUGUGAUGGCAUAUGAACAGGUUUUGAUAAUGGAAAAGUUGAGCAUUGUGGUGAAAGAUAUUCUGCAACUAUUCUGCAAGAGAUAGAGGGAUGCUUGAAGGUUGCUUCUUGAAGCAGGAAAUCAGUCACAACUGUAUGAACAAAGCUUCUAAUUUGUUCAGUGAGUUGGAACGUUUUUGUCAGUGCUGCUUGACAAAUGUGGAUCUGUAACUGGAAGAAAGUGUAACACCUGGAGAGAUGUUCUCGCUUGGAUUGGGACCAUGCUUUUAAAAUCCUGCUGAAACAGUUGUUGAAAUUGUUUAGCAGACACUGUUAUAAAAAACUGCACGUGAACCAAAAUUACUGUCUCUGCAUAUUUAAAAUAACACUUUUUCCAAAACAUCAAACUGCCCUCUUUGGGAAGGAUAAACAUAGCAGUAGGGAAAUAAGUGGUGAGCUUCCAUAUAUGAAAAAAGAAACAAAUUAUUGGCUCUUAUGAAAUGUAAAGGUAUGCAGACUUUUUGAUACUGAGCACCUGUAAUUCAAAGCAAUGGAAGUUGCAAGUAGACUGUGCAGCAUUGAUACAUAAAUUCAAACUGCUGAGUGCUUCUUGAAGAUGUCAUGUAGGAGACGGAAGGAAGUAGAUAAGGUGGUGUGGAAGCAUCAGCAUGAACCACUUGUAAAAAGAAACACUUGAAAUUUCAGGUGGUGUGAGGGAAGUUGUGGUUACAGAAAAGCCAUGGACUAAAGCUUUCAUUUUCUUCUGCUUCUAGUCGGGGUGAGAAGGAAAGGGGAGUUUUCAUGAGCUGCCAAUUUAGCAUGAAAAGACCAGUAUUGGAACUGGAACUGUGCCCACCGAAGAAGACAUUGGCAGUGUUAUCUGUUCCCAGCGUGGGAGUAUAAGCAUUGGAACAUUUGCUUGCAGCAGUCACUAACCACACAGUAACAUGUUAACAUUGUAUUUGUUGUAUUAAGCAGAUCAUCUCUUUUCCACCAAGGAAGAAAGGGACUGUAAGUUGAUUAACUGAGUAAGUUGCCUUUAAAGACAAAUUAUGCACAGAAGAUGCAAUCUACCUUAAGGUGUGGCUCUUGUACUGCAUUCUCAGGAAUGCAUUAUAAAGGAGGGAAUGUGACAACUGCGUGGUAGCCAAUGAUCAGUAGUGCUGUGGUUACUGAAUGAUUUUUGGAAUGUACCAAAAUACAGAAACAAUCCUGUAGUUUGCAGCCAAAAAUGACAGCAUUGGAGGCUAGCAGUUUACUUCCUUCAGGAAAUCUAAAAGAACUUCAUGAAAUACACUUAUUUCUAAACACCAAAUACCUGGAAGGUCCAUUUUUCUAUCAGUGCACUAUUAUAGUAGUGCAGAACAUGAAGUAGCAGCAUCUGAAGCGUUGGGAAGAUCAGAAAUAAGUUUGACUACAAAAAUGUACAUUAAUGGUGUGACUGAAGUCCAGGAGUGGCUUGGCUUACUGCAUAACCUGCUUUGGUUAUUCAGUAAGUAAAACCAGCUGAUUUGCCUGGUUGGAAACUGCUUCUCAGUGAGGUAGCUAUGUGAAUUGGUCUAUUGAAUGUAUCAUCAGAAGCUGCAGAAUUUUACUACAAAAAAACAUCCCUUGAUGGCUUUCGUCAGGAUUCAUUAUCUAUUAAUGUUGCUGAGAGGGGUAGGUAUUUCUGUGCUGUGUUUUGUAUAUGCUCUUGAAUAAAGAUGAGGAUGUGGAAAACUUAACUAGCUGUUGAACAUCAGUUCUGUAGUCACUUAAGGUGUUUCCUGACAGCUCAUAUUUUGGAAAGGUUGCAGAGGCAAUGUGGCCUUAUUGUACUGGUACAGGGCAUGCUGAACAUGUGACAUUCCACACACUGGCUCCUGGACAAUGUAAGCUCCCCUGGCAGUUAUAUACUUCAGAAGUGCGGAGGAAUCAGUCUCCUAUCUUAGGUCCAUUGCAUUUUCAGCUCUUCUCAGUGGUGUGCACACCACUGAACAAGGUGUAAUGGACAAAAAUUGGAACAGGAGGAAGAACUUCACUGUGAAAGAGACAGAGCACUGGAACAGGCUGCCCAGAGAGAUUGUGGAGUCUCCUGGGAUUUAUCAAGAUCUGUCUGUGCAACUUACUGUGGGGAACCUGCUUAAGCAGGGCCAGAUGGGUCUUGAUCAUUCCCCAGAAGUCCCUUUCAACCCCUUCAAUUCUCUGGUUCUUAUGUAGUUGACGCUGUUGAUGAUGUUUAGUGAAGCUGUUGAGAUGGUGAGUCAAAAGUUGGCAGUCUUAAGACACUCACCGUGUCUUCUGGAGGGGAAGAAGUGUGUUGAAAACCAGAAAUGGAUAAUAGGGCAGCAAUAUUUGGUAAGUAGUAUAUUAGCUAUUCCGAAAGGGUUUUUAUAUAGCUUGUUUAACAGUCCAGUGCAAGCUUUUAUUUGCAGUAUGUUUUGACUGUAACGGUGCCUGUCUGUCUGAAGCUAAUACAAAGCAUCUGAAGCUUUUGAGGAGCUCCUAUGUGGGCAUGUAGUGAAACUGGUGAGGAUGAGUUGCUCUUCUAAUUGAUAUCAAAAAGCUAGAGACAGUUUCAGGAUUAUGGAUGAUACUUGAGUACCUAAAGUACUUCAAUCUUGAUCUAAAAUACUGAGGAUGUUCCAAUCUAGGAUUGACAGUAAUAGAUAAAAGGGGCCAAAGAACUGUAUUACAUUUGUGCUUGGGAUGGUGGAAGCCAAUUUUGAGAAGCUAUUCCUCAUGAAAAAAUGUGCCUCACUAAGCCCAGAAAAUGACAUGUGAUGGACGUGUUAACUGCAAAUCUUUAGAUAAUAAAUGCUCACUGGGAUGCAGAAUAUGGGUAACCAAAGAAAAAUGUGUUACAAAAGAUCUGAACAAGUUUUUUAACCAUGAGACUAUCUUAACAGUCUUCAGAAUGAGACUAAUGGUUAUGAUGUCAGAACAUCACAUAAAAUUGACAAAUGAUAGGUAUAACAUUUGUGAGCUUGCUCACGGUGGUAGAGGGUAAUGUUGCAAACCACUUGUGGAUUUAGAAUUUGUACUUUUUGUGUGUGUGUGUGUGAUACUUGUAUAUAAUUAUGAAGUUGGCAUCUAAUGAAUUUGAAAGGUAUGUUAAAGUUCAGUUGCACAGAAUACCUUGCUGGAUUUAAAGCUUUGAUUUCAGAUGUUGCAGUAAAUAGCCCGAAAGCCCUUUUGCAGUUUGUGUUUUAAAUAGUUAUUAAAAUCUUGCACUGUCAUUAGUGUUUAAUUUAUCACAUGGGUAUUGGGCUGUGAUUCCCAAAAUCAGUGGUUAGACAAACUUUGUCCUGGCAUAUUGCUGUGUUGGUCUUAGUAACUGGGCAAGAGGUCAGCAUUCUCCUGAGUUAAGUGAGUGUUGUGUUUAGAUGAGUGUCUCGGAGCUUCAGUGCAGUAGAAGAGUAGCUGUGCAUAAAUGCUUUGCUACCAUUUAAGUGAGAAGUCAUGCUUAAGGCAGGACGUUUUGUCUGGAGAAUUUGUCUUGCUUGUGGAGACAAGUAAAUCAUAAACAGUACCAAGUGAGCUGCAGUUACUUUUGCAAAGUACCCGUGCUGCAAUGUGAGUUAAGAACACAAGUGAGCAGAAAAUGUCCUGUCAAGCUAACCAGUCUACAGAGAAGCGUGCUGCCUGCUUUGGUGGCAUUGCUGCCUUCUCUUUCAGGCAAACUCAGUAAUCCAGGCUUGCUAUAUAAAUGUUGGUUAUGAGCUGUACUGACACGGGUGGACAUUGCAAUUGAAUUAACAGCUGCUAAGUUCCAAAGGUGGAAGCUCAGCAAUGAGUUUUUGAAGAGAGACUCAUUCACUUAAGAUGGUUGACCUGUCACAGCAGUUUGAGCAAUGUUAGACUGUCCAAGGAAAGACUUUUUUUUUUUUUUUAACAUUGGAGACCAUAUUUAACCCUCAGUUUGGGAUACCAUGUUUUCACCACAGUUGAGGACAAUCUGAGUUGCAGUGAAUUAAUUCAGCAAGUGGAUAUUACAGGCAAUAUGGCCACUGAAAGCCUCUUUUCUAUGUGAAGGAACCUCUACAUGAAGACAUUUUGGCACCAUUGAUUUCAGAGUCUUUUUGCUGUGUUUUUUGCCUUAAAAAAAGCUGCCAUGAUGAGUAGAAGUAGCAUGACUUCCAUCUAUGAGUUAGUAGUUUUUAAUAUGGAAAAUACUUAAUAAUUCUGGCACUGGUAAGUACAUUUAAAUCUCUUAAAUCUGUCUGAAUGUGGCAACCAGUAGUUCUUAUGACACAGCAUAUUGGAGAGAAAGGUACCUUUUGCUUGUAAGACUAGUAAUCACAGCAUGUAGAUAUUCUAAAACUCAAGUCUAACAUUGGAGGAGUAAAAUGUACAAUACUAAAUGAAGAUUUUCCACCAACGGAAUCAAAAAGAUGGUCAUGUGAAUGAGGAUUUUGCACUCAAACUCCAUACUACUAUGCCUUAAGUAGUAAGACUAGCUUAACUUUCUACUCUCAUUUGUUAAAUGAGAUGCCCUGUAGUGCUUGCAAUCUUAGGGCAGCAAUUCUGAAUUAUACUGUGGUGAUGUUCUUCUUUGGCCCUUUUGGUUUCAGGUUUUACUUUUAGUUACCUCUGGACACAGCUAUAUGGAGGUUCUUAUGAGCAGUAUGUUACUGCUGAGCUGUUGGGUAAGGACUGUUGACUUUGUGAUGCCUUUUACCUGACCAACUUUAAAAGAAAAAAGCCUGUUAGCUUCAGUUUCAAGCUGAGGAAACUUGUCAAUGUCUGGGAUCACUGCUUAUCAUGAGACUUGAAUCUUCACUUACCCAAAAAGAGAAGAAAAUGGUCUACAAAGAGGUUUUCUUUUUCUCUGAGAUGGCACUCCUGGAAGUGUCUUGGCCUUAAGUUCUGAAAGAAAUGCUGCAUUUCCUGAAGGAUCAGUUUGGAUGUUCCAGUUAACAACUUUACUGCCGAAGUAUGACCAGGAAACAUGACAAUUUAUUGAUUCUCAAUUAGGAAGGGGCUCUUAAGCUGACAAAAAGUAUAUAUAUAUUUAUUCCUAAUUUAUAGUUCUUUCAGAUAUCACAGUAGAUCUAUUGGAGCUUUGAGUUCUCUCUGUGAACUUUCUUACUCUUGGCCAAAAUUGGGACCUUGGUGUCCAGAAUUAUUGUUGUCUUCAGCACUGUCCCUAUCUGAAGAUCCUUUUCCCCUUUUAUCCUAUAUGUCAAUCUGGCCCAUAUUGCUUUUCCCAGAAAUUAUGCAACAAAUGUACUAAGAACCAAGGCAAAAAUAUAAAAUUACAAAAGAUAACUAUAGACCUUCAAUAUGAGACUUCAGCAAAGGAAAGAAAAGUCACUAGGAAACUUUUUUGUCUGUAACUUAUUAUUAUACUCCAACAACUGUUGGGCUGCAAAAGACUAGUUCCUGUAGUGAUUUGACAGCUGUGAUUUGCUCUUCAAGAAGUCAUGAACAGAGCCUACAAGUAAGUUGCUGAUUUGGUAAACUGCGAAUGUAUGAAGAAUGAUGGCCAUUUGGACUUCAGGUUGCUUCAGAUGUAGGAGAGAAACAUUUCCACUUCAGGACUGAUACUGGGCUCCCCGUAUGUGAAAGUUCCAGGCAAUGAAAUAGCUAGAAAAGGGAAAAGUGAGUUUUCUUUUAAAUAAAAACCUUGGAAUAUAACAAGGCAAAAUAUCAACUGUAAACUUCUGAUUCAGAAAAAUCUCAGUUCUCCGCAACUAGGCUCUGAAUUCGGCACUUUUCACCUUGAAUGUUCUGAGGUCUGGCUGGGUGAAGGAGGCACCUCCAUUAUUAGAAAAGCAGAGAUGAUCUGUGAAGAUACUGCUCUAGCAGCAACAAAAUAGUUACCAGGAGAAAAUUGGCAUCUUGCCUGAAAGCAAGCAUUCUGAGCUUCUGCUUGAGCUUCCAUUAACAAUAUGAUGAGGAGGUUUAAAAAAAUUUCCUCAUCUGUCUGUAUUUCAUAUCAAACUUCUCUCAGAAAUUUGGCCAUUAAGAUAAAAUAAUAGUGCGGAAGAUUUUCUGUUUCGGGCCAAACUGCAGAAAAUUAUCCAUGAAAUUAAUUUGCUUUUUGUGGCUGUCUGAGACAGUGUUCCUUUUUGUAUGGAAAAAACCUUUAUAUUAACUG